CCUACGGGUGGCAGCAGUGGGGAAUAUUGCACAAUGGGGGAAACCCUGAUGCAGCGACGCCGCGUGGGUGACGAAGUAUUUCGGUAUGUAAAGCCCUAUCAGCAGGGAAGAAGAUGACAGUACCUGACUAAGAAGCCCCGGCUAACGACGGGACAGCAGCCGCUGGAAGACGUAGGGGGCAAGCGUGAGCCGGAUUUACUGGGUGUAAAGGGAGCGUAGGUGGACUGGCACGCCAGGAGUGAAAACCCGGGGCUUACCCCCGCGGAUUGCUUUUGGAACUGGCAGGCUGGAGUGCAGGAGGGCCAGGCGGCAUUCCUGGUGUAGCGGUGAAAUGCGUAGAUAUCAGGAGGAACACCUGUGGCGAAGGCGGCCUGCUGGACUGUAACUGACACUGCGGCUCGCACGCGUGGGGAGCAAACAGGAUUAGAUACCCUGGUAGUC
rnacentral:rRNA from 1 species